CCUACGGGAGGGAGCAGUGGGGAAUUUUGGACUAUGGGCGCAAGCCUGAUCCAGCGAUGCCGCGUGUGGGAAGAAGGCCUUCGGCUUGUAAACCACUUUUGUCUGGGAAGAAAGGGUUUGUCCUAAUACGGUGAACUAAUGACGGUACCUGAUGAAUAAGCACCGGCUUACUACGUGCCAGCAGCCGGGGUAAUACGUAGGGUGCAAGCGUUAAUCGGAAUAACUGGGCGUAAAGCGUGCGCAGGCGGCUUUGCAAGACAGAUGUGAAAUCCCCGGGCUCAACCUGGGAUCUGCAUUUGUGACUGCAUGGCUAGAGAGCGGCAUAGGGGGAUGGAAUUCCGCGUGUAGCAGUGAAAUGCGUAGAUAUGCGGAGGAACACCGAUGGCGAAGGCAAUCCGCUGGGCCUGCACUGACGCUCAUGCACGAAAGCGUGGGGAGCAAACAGGAUUAGUUACCCUGGUAGUCCACGCCCUAAACGAUGUCAACUGGUUG
rnacentral:rRNA from 1 species